rnacentral:rRNA from 1 species
UGACCUCUGACCUCAAAUCAGGUAGGACUACCCGCUGAACUUAAGCAUAUCAAUGCGG